rnacentral:rRNA from 1 species
GGUAAGCGUAGUGGUACCAGGGAGGCUAGGCUCCGCACCAAGAUCCUAUGGAUGCGGAGGAUGUGUGUCUUGAGGCGUCUUCUGCGCAAGUACCGUGAGGUGAAGAAGAUCGACAAGCACAUGUUUCAUGACAUGUACCUGAAGGUCGGUAACAUGUUCAAGAACAAGAGGGUCCUCAUGAAGAGUAUCCACAAGUCCAAGGCUGAGAAGGCAAGAGAGAAGACCCUCUCUGACCAGUUUGAGGCCAAGCGUGCCAAGAUCAAGGCAAGCAGGGAGAGGAUGAUUGCGAGGAGGGAGGAGAGAUUUGCUCAGUUAAGAUGA